rnacentral:rRNA from 1 species
GACAGAGGGUGCAAACGUUGUUCGGAAUUACUGGGCGUAAAGCGCGUGUAGGCGGCUAAGUAAGUCGGGCGUGAAAUCCCACGGCUCAACCGUGGAAGUGCACUCGAAACUGCGUAGCUAGAGUCCUAGAGAGGAAGGUGGAAUGCUUGGUGUAGAGGUGAAAUUCGUAGAUAUCAAGCGGGAACACCGGUGGCGGAAGGCGGCCUUCUGGACAGUGACUGACGCUGAGACGCGAAAGCGUGGGGAGCAAACAGG